rnacentral:rRNA from 1 species
AAUCUAGAGAGAUGGUUUAUUUUUCCGCUAGUAAAAGUGAAGAGAGCGAAUCGGACGUUCAUCGCUUAAAGAUGCAGUAAUUUAGCAGCAUCAUUUUGCAUAAUAUAUACAUUUUUGCGAUAUCCCUGAGAGGGCAAGUCUGGUGCCAGCAGCCGCGGUAAUUCCAGCUCUCAAAGUGUAUAUCGUCAUUGCUGCGGUUAAAAAGCUCGUAGUUGGAUCUGCGCCUCAGGACCUGGUCCGCCCACUGGGCGAGAACUGGGCUCCUGGGCUAGUUCUGCUGGUUUUCCCUACGUUGCCUUCAUCGGUCGCGUAGGGUGGCUAGCGAGUUUACUUUGAAAAAAUUAGAGUGCUUCACGCGGGCUUAUGUCUGAAUACUCGUGCAUGGAAUAAUAGAAUAGGAUCUCGGUUCUAUUUUGUUGGUUUUCUGAUCUGAGAUAAUGGUUAAGAGGGACGGACGGGGGCAUUCGUAUCGCUGCGUGAGAGGUGAAAUUCUUGGACCGUAGCGAGACGUCCGACUGCGAAAGCAUUUGCCAAGAAUGUCUUCAUUAAUCAAGAACGAAAGUCAGAGGUUCGAAGGCGAUCAGAUACCGCCCUAGUUCUGACCGUAAACGAUACCAACUAGCGUUCCGUCGGCGGUAAAUAUGCCUUGACGGGCAGCUUCCCGGAAACGAAAGUCUUUCGGUUCCGGGGGAAGUAUGGUUGCAAAGCUGAAACUUAAAGGAAGGGCACCACCAGGAGUGGAGCCUGCGGCUUAAUUUGACUCAACACGGGAAAACUCACCUGGCCCGGACACCGUGAGGAUUGACAGAUUGAGAGCUCUUUCUUGAUUCGGUGGUUGGUGGUGCAUGGCCGUUCUUAGUUGGUGGAGUGAUUUGUCUGGUUUAUUCCGAUAACGAGCGAGACUCUAGCCUAUUAAAUAGUCAUCGGAUAAACAAGUCCGGAAGACUUCUUAGAGGGACAAGCGGUAUUCAGCCGCAUGAAGUUGAGCAAUAACAGGUCUGUGAUGCCCUUAGAUGUCCAGGGCUGCACGCGCGCUACACUGGAGGAAUCAGCGUGCUGUAACCAUUGCCGAAAGGUAUUGGUAACCCCUUGAAAAUCCUCCGUGAUCGGGAUCGGGAAUUGCAAUUAUUUCCCUUGAACGAGGAAUUCCUAGUAAGUGUGAGUCAUCAGCUCACGUUGAUUACGUCCCUGCCCUUUGUACACACCGCCCGUCGCUGCCCGGGACUGAGCCGUUUCGAGAAAAGCGGGGACUGCUGUUUCGAGACCUUUCGAGGUGGAGAUUCUUUGGUGGAAACCGCCUUAAUCGCAGUGGCUUGAACCGGGCAAAAGUCGUAACAAGGUUUCCGUAGGUGAACCUGCGGAAGGAUCAUUA